CCUGGCCCAAAAUCUGUGCGAGGAAGAAGAUAAACCUAAACCCACCAUCCAACAGCUCACUUCUCCACACACACACUCUCCCUCACUCUGUGUUGCCUUCUCUCUAAGUAUGCCUUCGUUUCCGCAGCCUGGUUCAGUCACUAUCUGUGAAAUCAAUCGAGAUCUAAUUACAGCUGAUAGCCUAUCUGAUGAUCGAGCCAAGGAUACUUAUGGAAAAAUUUUGGGAAUGGUGUUCAGCCCGAUUCCAUUUCAAGCGGAUCAACUGGCAAGCACCAGUGCGGAGUUGGAAACACAAGAGCAAGGAAGACCCUGUGGAGAGAAUGCUGAGACGAAUGGUUUGUCCAAAGGAUUCAAGAGUUUUGCUAUUGAUUCCAUCAAGCGCAUUUUUCAUCCCAAUUAUGUAAAUAUGUUGCCAGAGGUUGAUUUUAAAGGGUUGAGCUGGCACCAACAUAAACAUAUUAUCGCAUUUAUCUCUGGUCGAAAUCAGGUUAUAGUUCGUGAUUAUGAAGAUUCAGACGGGAAGGAUGCAUGUAUCUUGACCUGUGAUUCACAAAGAGAUAUUAAAGUUCUUGAGUGGAGGCCAAAUGGAGGAAAGUCACUUUCUGUAGCAUGCAAGGGUGGAAUCUGCAUCUGGGCAGCAUCUUAUCCUGGAAAUGUUGCAUCUGUGAGAUCUGGUACUGCUUCAUACUUGGGUACUCUUUCUAGAGGUGCUGGAACUCGAUGGACUCUUGUGGAUUUUCUUCAAAGUCAUAAUGAUGAACAAAUAAGUGCUCUUUCUUGGAGUCCUGAUGGAAGAUACUUGGCAUCUGCUUCAUAUCAAAGCUCAUCAUUCACCAUAUGGGAUGUUGCACAAGGACUGGGAACACCCAUUCGACGGGGUUUAGGAUGUAUAUCAAUGCUCAAAUGGUCACCUAUUGGUGAUUAUUUUUUUGCUGCAAAAUUUGAUGGAACAUUUUAUCUUUGGGAGACAAACACAUGGACAUCUGAAACUUGGUCUUCAACUAGUGGGUUUGUAACGGGUGCAACAUGGGAUCCCGAUGGGCGUAUGAUACUUAUUGCUUUCUCUGGAUCUGCAACAUUGGGCUCUAUUCAUUUUGCAUCAAAGCCUCCAUCUUUAGAUGCACACUUAUUACCAGUCGAUUUGCCAGAGAUAAUGUCCUUGACUGGAAGUCAUGGGAUUGAGAAGAUAGCAUGGGAUGCUUCGGGUGAAAGAUUAGCAGUAUCUUAUAAAGGAGGGGAUGAUGUCUACAAGGGUCUUAUUGCGAUAUAUGAUGCUAGGAGGACUCCCCUGAUUUCUGCUUCACUGAUUGGGUUUAUAAGAGGGCCUGGAGACAAUCCGAAGCCAAUUGCAUUUUCAUUUCAUGACAAGUUCAAACAAGGACCACUGCUUUCUGUUUGUUGGAGCAGUGGAUUUUGCUGUACCUACCCUCUUAUAUUUCAUUCUCACAGUCUUUCCUAGUUAUGGUACGUCUUCCUGGUAGAAAAUAAAUUUCCUUCCUGGUCACAAGUACUCAAAAAUGGAAGAGAACUUCUAACUUUUCAUUGCUGGAGUGUCAUUUCAUUUUGGACCAUCUUUCUGCAUCUCAGAGAAGGAAAGAGGCCGUUUUACUGAUAUUCUGAAUAUGUUGCCUAGAAGCAUCUUCUUAUCAGUAGGAGCUCAAACAAGCAGCAGAUUGAAUAGCGUGGAUCCCAUGACAAGGUAUUAGGAGCUCACUCUUGUUUCGGUGUCUUGGAAAGAUUUUCUUUCGCUUAUCAAAAAACAAAAAAACAGAAAUUUUCUCUCAACAUCUAUCAAAAAACAGAAAUUCUCUCAACAUCCAUAUUGAUCUUAUGUUCUAAGGCAGGAUAUCUGGAUUGAAAAUAAAGCGGCUUACCUUAUGAUGUCCUUUUCUUUUAAAGUUUUCCUUUCCUGCACGUUUUCAAUUCUUGUUCUUUCUUUCUUUUUUUUUUUAGGUGGGAAGGGGGGGAUUAAUUUUGUUAUACUAAAGUCAAAAUUGACAUUAUGAUGAUGAACGAUGGGGAAAAAGGUUGACUUACCGGUUUCUUAACAUUUUGUGGAAAAUAUUAUAACAAUGUUAUGAAGUUGUUCUCAUAAUAUAUAAUGGAAAUUUGUUUAUGUUC